AAAUGUUUGAUUUUAGCUUAAAUUUUUAUGUUAUUAUUGAAGUUGUAUGAAAGUUAAAGCAUGAUUGAAAUAGCUUGGUUAGAAACCAAAUAAAAAUAGAGCAAAGUUAAAUCAUAAAACUUUACAGUCUCAGCAUGGAAUAUUAUAAAUUAAUAUACUAAAGUAUGAUAUAGCAAUAAUAUUAAAGUCUGAUAAAUACUUGUGCCAGCAUUCGCGGUUAUACUUUAAGACUAAGUAAAAAUUUUUAGGUUGUAGUUAAGUGAGUGAUUUAAAAAUUAUAUGGGCAAUAAAGGGUAAAAUCGGAAUAUUGUUUUGUAUAAAAAAAAAUCUUAAUUGAAGCUAGAAAAUUUUAGUGAUAAACUAGGAUUAGAUACCCUAUUAUUCUAAAAUGAAUUAUUAAAACUUAAUUAGUAAGAGAUAAAUACUUAAAAUUUAAAAAAUUUGGCGGCAAUUUAAUCUUUUCAGAGGAACCUGUUUUAUAAUCGAUAAACCACGAAGAAUCUUACUUGCCUUUGUAAAACAGUUUGUAUACCAUCAUUAUCAGAUAAUUCUUAGAGGAGAAAUUAUUAAACUUGAUUUAUCAGGAAAAUUAGAUCAUGGUGCAGUUAAUAGGCAAGUUAAAAUGGGUUACAAUAAAUUAUUUUAUGACGGAUUAAGCAGAAUAAUUCUGCUAUGAAGGAGGAUUUGAUUGUACUUUUAGUUUAAUAAGCUAAAAGGAUAUAAGUUCUAAAUUGUGUACAUAUCGCCCGUCGCUUUCAUUUAUAAGUGAAAUAAGUCGUAACAUAGUAGAUGUACUGGAAAGUGUAUCUGGU
rnacentral:ncRNA from 1 species